rnacentral:misc_RNA from 1 species
UCUCGGCUUAUCACCGGCAGUCCCCUUAGAGUGCCCAACUGAAUGAUGGCAACUAAGGGCGAGGGUUGCGCUCGUUGCGCCACUUAAGGCAACACCUCACGGCACGAGCUGACGACAGCCAUGCAGCACCUGUGCAGGCUCCCGAAGGAGCACCGGCUUUCACCGGUUUCACCCUGCAUGUCAAGCCCUGGUAAGGUUCUUCGCGUUGCGUCGAAUUAAGCCACAUGCUCCGCCGCUUGUGCGGGUCCCCGUCAAUUCCUUUGAGUUUUAAUCUUGCGACCGUACUCCCCAGGCGGGAUGCUUAAUACGUUAGCUGCGCCACCGAAGAGCAAGCUCUCCGACGGCUAGCAUCCAUCGUUUACGGCGUGGACUAC